CCGGCCGCAUGGUCCGCUGAUGAAAGGGCUCCGGGUCGCCCAUGGAUGGCUUUGCGGUGCAUUAGCUAGUUGGUGGGGUAACGGCCCACCAAGGCGACGAUGCAUAGCCGACCUGAGAGGGUGAUCGGCCACACUGGGACUGAGACACGGCCCAGACUCUACGGGAGGCAGCAGUAGGGAAUCUUCCACAAUGGACGAAAGUCUGAUGGAGCAACGCCGCGUGAACGAUGAAGGCUUUCGGGUCGUAAAGUUCUGUUGUAAGGGAAG
rnacentral:rRNA from 1 species